rnacentral:rRNA from 1 species
AAAUGAAUAGACGGGGGCCCGCACAAGCGGUGGAGCAUGUGGUUUAAUUCGAAGCAACGCGAAGAACCUUACCAAGGCUUGACAUCCCGAUGACCGGUGUAGAGAUACACCCUUCCCCUGAGGGGGACAUUGGUGACAGGUGGUGCAUGGUUGUCGUCAGCUCGUGUCGUGAGAUGUUGGGUUAAGUCCCGCAACGAGCGCAACCCUUAUCUUUAGUAGCCAGUGGGUAAUGCCAGGCACACUAGAGAGACUGCCGGGGUAACUCGGAGGAAGGUGGGGAUGAGGUCAAAUCAUCAUGCCCCUUAUGUCUUGGGCUACACACGUGCUACAAUGGCUGUAACAAAGUGAUGCAAGCACGCGAGUGUGAGCUAAACACAAAAAAGCAGUCCCAGUUCGGAUUGUAGGCUGCAACCCGCCUGCAUGAAGUCGGAAUCGCUAGUAAUCGCGAAUCAGCAUGUCGCGGUGAAUACGUUCCCGGGCCUUGUACACACCGCCCGU